rnacentral:rRNA from 1 species
AGCCAUUAGAAGAUAUUAAUGGUUUAACCUGCCCAAUGUUAAUAAUAAAUGGCCGCGGUACACUGACCGUGCUAAGGUAGCGUAAUCAGUUGGCUUUUAAAUGGAGUCAGGUAUGAAUGGGAGAACCGGGUCUAGCUGUCUCCUGGCUACUAUAUUGAAUUUACUGUUUAAGUGAAAAAGCUUAAAUUUAAUAAAAGGACGAGAAGACCCUUAGAAUUUUUUUUAAUAGAGAUUUAUAUCUUUUAUGAUUUUGUUGGGGCGACAGAGAAAUAAUAAAAACUUUCUUUUAUUAAUAUGCCGAUUAUAUUAAGCAAGAAUAAAUUACCUGAGGGAUAACAGCAUAAUUCUAAAAUUGAGUUUGUGACCUCGAUGUUGGACUAGGAAACUAGCAGAUUAGCCAUUUGUUGUGUUGGUUCUGUUCGAACUAUAAUUCCU